rnacentral:rRNA from 1 species
AUACGUAGGUGGCAAGCGUUGUCCGGAUUUAUUGGGCGUAAAGCGAGCGCAGGCGGUCUUUUAAGUCUGAUGUGAAAGCCCCCGGCUUAACCGGGGAGGGUCAUUGGAAACUGGGAGACUUGAGUGCAGAAGAGGAGAGUGGAAUUCCAUGUGUAGCGGUGAAAUGCGUAGAUAUAUGGAGGAACACCAGUGGCGAAGGCGGCUUCCUGGUCUGUAACUGACACUGAGGCGCGAAAGCGUGGGGAGC